GAUUUUAGCAUGGAAUAAUGGAAUAGGACGGCGCUUCUAUUUUGUUGGUUUCUAGGGGAGCCGUAAUGAUUAAUAGGGACAGUUGGGGGCAUCCGUAUUCAGUUGUCAGAGGUGAAAUUCUUGGAUUUACUGAAGACGAACUACUGCGAAAGCAUUUGCCAAAGAUGUUUUCAUUAAUCAGUUGAACGAAAGUUAGGGGAUCGAAGACGAUCAGAUACCGUCGUAGUCUUAACCAUAAACUAUGCCGACUAGGGAUCGGGCGAUGUUAUUGUAUUGACUCGCUCGGCACCUUUCGAGAAAUCAAAGUGUUUGGGUUCUGGGGGGAGUAUGGUCGCAAGGCUGAAACUUAAAGAAAUUGACGGAAGGGCACCACCAGGAGUGGAGCCUGCGGCUUAAUUUGACUCAACACGGGGAAACUCACCAGGUCCAGAUACACGUAGGAUUGACAGAUUGAGAGCUCUUUCUUGAUUGUGUAGUUGGUGGUGCAUGGCCGUUCUUAGUUGGUGGAGUGAUUUGUCUGCUUAAUUGCGAUAACGAACGAGACCUUCAUCGUUAACUAGCCCGGCUCGCCUUGGCGGGUCGCCGGCUUCUUAGCGAGACUUUUGGCUUAAGCCAAAGGAAGUUGGGGGCAAUAACAGGUCUGUGAUGCCCUUAGAUGUUCUGGGCUGCACGCGCGCUACACUGACAGAGGCAACGAGUUUUUUUCCUUGGCCGGAAGGCCUGGGUAAUCUUGUUAAACUCUGUCGUGCUGGGGAUAGAGCAUUGCAAU
rnacentral:rRNA from 1 species